AAACCAUUACACCCGUCGCACUUUAAAAAAAAAAAUAAAAAUAAGUGCAAAAAAUAAUAAUCCAUGUUCGCCCUUCGAGGGCACGCCGCAUACUGAGCUCCGCAGGGCGGGUCAAGGCUUUAUAAGCCUUGACCCGCCCUGCGGAGCUCAGUAUGCGGCGUGCCCUCGAAGGGCGAACAUGGAUUAUUUUUUUUUGCGCUCGUUUUUUUUUUAAAGUGCGACGGGUGUAAUGGAUUUUUAUUUGGCCUUUUUGGGGGCUGAAGAAAGAAGAUUUUAGAAAAAAGAAGAUGUCAAAUGGUAAGUUU